AAUCUGGUUGAUCCUGCCAGUAGUCAUAUGCUUMGUUCAAGGGCUAAGCCAUGCACGUCUCAGCGCAAACGGUGCAACAGUGGAUCUGUGAAUGGCUCCUUACAUCAGCAGUCAUCUACGUGAUAGAGUGUGCUUGGUCAAAUGCAGUGGACCCCUUUGGACAUCCACUAAAACCUUGUGGCUAAUACACGUUUGAAACAGUCAGCCAUGCGACACCCAGAGACUUCCAGGGUCAUCUCGGUGGCCCGGUCAAUGGGUGAUGGCGGAUGAACGCCCAGCUGAUACAAAGACCAGCGCCUGAAUAAGGCAGUGUGUUGUCAUGGUUGACUCAGGCUGGCCCUUUGUGGCCGCAGUGUUGGCAGAUUCUGUGGUGGCUUCCCCUUCGGGGGUGGUCAUCCCUGCUUGAUCGCAAGAGCUUCUGACCUAUCAGCUUGACUGUGGUGUAUUGGACCACAGUGGCUUUGACGGGUAACGGAGAAUCAGGGUUCGAUUCCGGAGAGGGAGCCUGAGAGACGGCUACCACUACCAAGGUGGGCAGCAGGCACGCAAAUUGCCCCAUGCAAAGACAGUCUGUGAGGCAGCGACGAACCGUAGCAAUCCCGUCGGCAAUCAAUGCCGAUGGGACUUGGAAUGGAUGCUAUCCAAAGACAGUUAUGAGUAUCAACUGGAGGGCAAGUCUGGUGCCAGCAGCUGCGGUAAUUCCAGCUCCAAGGGCGUAUACUAACAUUGCUGCUGUUAAAACACUUGUAGUCUGCCACCGGGCUGCAGGUCUGCUGGGUGGCCAGCCGCUGUCUCGGUGGGCCCUGGUCUUCGGAUCAUGGGUUCUGCCUUGGCAGUGCUGGAUUCAACCCCCAGCGGUAUGUCCCUGCGCCCAACACUUCUUCUGAUGGUGAGAACUGCUCCUGCCAAAAGCCUGCUUCAUUGCAGGCCAAAGCGGCUUAUGCCUCCCACACUGGCUACGGACGCAAGGGGACCUGGCCUGUGCCAGGCAGAUACCCUGUCCACCACCGGGGCCCACCAUCAGUUGACACCCUGGAAAACUCAGUGUGCUCAAAGCAUCCUCUUGACGGCUGAAUGUCCAUCCAUGGAAUGUCGAGGUAUCGACCGAGUGUGGCAUUGGAGUUGUGCUGGCCUUGGGGCCCACUCUGGGCAACCUGGUGGGUGUUCUCAUGGGACCACUUGGGCUUGGCCUCACUUCGGUGGACCAUGUCCCCAGUACCUGUGACUUGCACCCAUCGAUCGCAACCGAUGGGACUGUUCGGGGUGAAAGGUAUCGGAGCGCCAGAGGUGAAAUUCUUAGAUCGCUGCGAGACCCACGGCAGCGAAGGCGUUCUGCAAGUGCAUGUCCGUCGAUCAAGAAUGAGAGUCCGGGGAGCAAAGAUGAUCAGACACCGUCGUAGUCCGGCCACUGUAAACCAUGCCGGCUAGGCCUUGGAGGGGNAAAAUCAANAGACCCCUUNAGGGCCACUCCUCCCACAACGAGAAAUCCACAGCCUGUGGGUUCAGGGGGGAGUACUGUCGCAAGGCUGAAACUUAAAGGAAUUGACGGAAUGGCACCACAAGGCGUGGAGUAUGCGGCUUAAUUUGACUCAACGCGGGGAAUGUUACCAGGUCAGGACGCAACUGGGAUURACAGAUUGAGAGCUCUUUCUUGAUCUUGUGGACGGUGGUGCAUGGCCGCUCCUGAUUGGUGGAGUGAUUUGUCUGGUUGAUUCCGAUAACGAGUGAGACAUCUGCCUCCCAGUAGCCUGGGGCUCGCAUUUGGUAGGGUCUGGCCCUCUGGUGGCAGCCUGGGUUCGCCCGGGAGAUGUGCCGGUGUGGCUCCCGAGAGCCUCCAGUUCAGCUUCUCUGAGGUGCUGUGUCCGCUACAAAGGGCACGCAUGCUAGAGCCAACAGCAGGUCUGUGAUGCUCCCAGAUGUCCUGGGCCGCACGCGCACUACAUUGCUACAGUGAAGGUGUCGUUCAAGCCCACUUCGGUGGGCCCUGUCCUGAAGAGGAUGGGAAAUCCUGCAAGCCUGUAGCGUACUGGGGAUAGAUGAUUGCAACUGUCUGCCUUGAACGUGGAAUGCCUAGUAUGCCUGGGUCAUCAGCCCAGACCGAUUGUGUCCCUGCCAUUUGUACACACCGCCCGUCGUUGCUACCGAUGGUGGCUGGAUAGAGUCAUCAGGAGGUCGGACCACCACUCUCGGGUGCGUGCGUUCCCAACCGAAAUUGGACAAUGUCCAGCUGCUAGAGGAAGCAAAAGUCGUAACAAGGUUNNUGUAGGUUAACCUGCAGAAGGAUYAAGCUUGAGU
rnacentral:rRNA from 1 species